rnacentral:rRNA from 1 species
AGCGGCGGACGGGUGAGUAACACGUGGGUAACCUGCCCAAGAGACUGGGAUAACACCUGGAAACAGAUGCUAAUACCGGAUAACAACACUAGACGCAUGUCUAGAGUUUGAAAGAUGGUUCUGCUAUCACUCUUGGAUGGACCUGCGGUGCAUUAGCUAGUUGGUAAGGUAACGGCUUACCAAGGCAAUGAUGCAUAGCCGAGUUGAGAGACUGAUCGGCCACAUUGGGACUGAGACACGGCCCAAACUCCUACGGGAGGCAGCAGUAGGGAAUCUUCCACAAUGGACGAAAGUCUGAUGGAGCAACGCCGCGUGAGUGAAGAAGGGUUUCGGCUCGUAAAGCUCUGUUGGUAGUGAAGAAAGAUGGAGGUAGUAACUGGCCUUUAUUUGACGGUAAUUACUUAGAAAGUCACGGCUAACUACGUGCCAGCAGCCGCGGUAAUACGUAGGUGGCAAGCGUUGUCCGGAUUUAUUGGGCGUAAAGCGAGUGCAGGCGGUUCAAUAAGUCUGAUGUGAAAGCCUUCGGCUCAACCGGAGAAUUGCAUCAGAAACUGUUGAACUUGAGUGCAGAAGAGGAGAGUGGAACUCCAUGUGUAGCGGUGGAAUGCGUAGAUAUAUGGAAGAACACCAGUGGCGAAGGCGGCUCUCUGGUCUGCAACUGACGCUGAGGCUCGAAAGCAUGGGUAGCGAACAGGAUUAGAUACCCUGGUAGUCCAUGCCGUAAACGAUGAGUGCUAAGUGU